UAAAAAUAGAUAUAGAUUAAAACAAAAAUACAGACAUACAGAUAUAUCUGACAGUUCUGGAAUUUGAAAGCAUUGCAAAUGAUUGUUUAGUUAUACCAAGCCAACAGUUAAGCCACAUAUUGAUGGGAUGAAUGUGGCAAAUGUUUUUCUUCUUUUUAAUAUUUUCUGAAUCAUACUUGGAGCAGAUGCUUUGUAAGCCUUGUACCACAUCCUGUCAGUUCACAUGAGGGUUUCAGCUGCAGCUGUGGUGGAAAGACAGAUCUUGUGCAAGCUGCAGGCAUCUUUACCUGUCUCAAACUUCUGCUCUUGCCACCCCACCUUUCUUCAUUAUGCUGCCACAGGAGGCAGCCCAGAAGUUGGGGGAAGUUAACCCUCCACCAAUUGAGGAGAGUCAAUAGAAAAAGGACCCUGUCCCCUGUCCUCCCAGUCUCCUGGUCCUUUGGAGUGAUAAUUGUGAGUGCAUUUUACAUGGCUCCUGAGAGGAUCCCCAGUAGGAUCAAGCUCCAGUUGUACAUACCAACACAAUAAUACAUCACUUACCAACUUUCCAUCAUUUCUUGCCUCAUUCUCCUCAUUUUAAGCCAUGAUUCCUCCCCACCACUACCAAAUAAACUGACAUAAUUCAAAGUUAUGUCUCAGAUUCUGCCUAAGGAAACCCAAAUUAAUACAGUAUCUGUAUAUCAGAUUGAACAACACACUUCUCAUUAAACAGUACAUUUUACCACCUGAAAAAAAUGACAAAUUAUCAUAAUAGCAUUUAGCAAUGAUAACCAUGGGUAUCAUGAACGCCAUUAACAAAUAAAAGAAAAACAGUGUUCACCCAUUAAGAAUGAUAUUGUAAGGAGCUGAAAUCAUAGAAUGAUGGAAAGUAUAACACAGUUCUGCCAAAGUUGUGAAAAUAUGUGCUUGUUGUGGUAAAAAAAAAAAAUGCAAAUCUAACUCUAGAUAUAAAAUUGUGGAAGGGGAACUAUAUUCAUGACGAGAAGUUACAUAACAUCACAAUAGUCGUCAUUUGUGAGUAACUACAUUCAAAUCAGAAAAGCCUUGUAAAUUUUAAGCUAUGUUCUUAUGGUUUAAAGGUACAACAAUGUUGGGAUGGGAGUAAUAAACAGCACCCUCUUUCAUAGCCUCAUUUUGGACUAAUUAAGAAGAAUCAAGCAGACAGAAAUUUAAAUAUCCCUUUUAUUACUUUGAAUGCCCCACAGGUUAGGGCCUUUUCUCAUAUUUACUCAUUCAGUCACAGAAAAACUGGCUACCGUAAGCAUCCCGAAGUGGAAGGUUUGCCCUGUAAAACUUAUGCCAGGAGGAACCAAACUUCUCUGUGCAGCUAGAUCGCAAAAGAAAUAAGAGAUGUGAGGACUAAAAUACACCUUCCUAGUUCCUCCUUCCAAACUCAGCUUUUAAAGAAGUCACUCUUUCUUCUGUAAUGAGGAGUAAGGAAGAGGAUCAUGAAUGUCACCAUGGGAAGAGGCCAUGAAUGUCAUACUAGUUAGUACUCUCCAUGUAGAAUGAGACUCAGGCCUGGGGAAAGAGCAAGCUGUCAGCCCCCAGCAGACUGGACAGUGGUUGCUAUGGAUCUGUCACCAGAUGAAUUAUCCCACAAUCUCCUACAACUCUCAGCAUUUUCUACUUCUAGUUUCUCUACAGAAAAGAAAGUAUUUGUUUCUUAAAGUGGGUUUGGUCGGGCACAGUGGCAUUCACCUAUGGCCCCAGCUACUCUGAAGGCUAAGGCUGAAGGAUUAUUUGAGCCCAGGAGUUAGAGGUUAUGUUACACUAUGAUUGUGCCUGUCAAUAGCUACUGAACUCCAGCCUGGGCAACAUAGCGAGAUCUUGUCUUUAAAAGUAAACAAACAAAUAAAUAAAUAAAAUCUACAUUUUAAAAGUGGAUUGAGUCUUUACAACAUAGGGAUGUCCAGGGAGCUUUAAUGUAUCAAUAAGAGUAUCCUUAAUGUCCAAUUUACUUAUCUAAUUAAAACAUUGAACAUGUAAUAGUCUUUCAAGCAUUAAAAAUUAUCAUUCCUGUAAAUAUCUACACUGUAUUUACAUAAUUAAUAAAUCAACAUUUAUCCAAAUAUUUGAACAUUGACUACAAACUUAUUUACUUGUAUUACUGUAAAAUUCAAUUUAAAACAAAUCUACUAUAUUAUAAUCUCCUGAUAAUGCUUUAAACUCCUUAAUAGACAAAGCACAUGCUCAAAAUAACAAUAAUUUGAAUUUAUUAUUGCAUUUAUACAAAAACCAAAAAAUUUAAAGCAUUUCAAAUUUUUUCUGGAAUUUAAAAUCCACAUUUUAUUUCUUUAUUAGCUCUCUUCUUAUUCUAUUGCUUGUGCUUAUUCUUAUCUAUGGGUUAGAGUGAGGUUAGCAGACAAAACUUCCUAGCACAAAUCUUAACAGACACAAACGAAAAAGAGUUCUAUUUCUAGCCUAAGCAGCUAAUUCUGCACUAUCUGUCAAUAGAUUCCUGAUUGGGAUAUGGGCCAAAUAUACACCUAAACUUCAUUUCCCUAACAUUAUCAUUCUUGGUGUACUAAUUACUAUUGCUGCAUAACAAAUUAUUCUUGAAACUUAAUGGCUUAAAACAAAACUAUUAUCUCACAGUUUCUGUGGGUCAGAAAUCUGGGGACAGCUAAGCUGGGUCCAAGAUAAAUUUCCAAUUAUAUCUCAUUAUAAUUAGUAGAGUCAUCAAGAAGUCUCAUGUCCUUCUGUGGCAAACAUUGUUAUUUGGCUGAGCCAAUAUUCACUCCUAUCCUCAUUUGCUCUUGCUGCUUCACGUGGUAGCAGGUAGGAAAACUAAAUUCUCACUUGAAUGAU
rnacentral:lncRNA from 1 species